rnacentral:rRNA from 1 species
AUUUUAGCGGUUAUAGUGCAGUAGAGCCACCUGAAUCCAUACCGAACUCAGAAGUGAAAUGCUGUUACACCAAUGGUAGUGUGGGGCAUCCCCAUGUGAGAGUAGGUCACUGCUAAUU